AGGUCAAGGAAGAAAGGGCGUACGGAGAAUGCCUGGGCACAGAGAGGCGAUGAAGGACGCAGCGAACAGCGAAAUGCGGCGGCGAGCGGUAAGCACGCGAUGACCCGCCGAUAUCCGAAUGGGGAAACCCCUCCGCUCAAGAAGCGGAGACCGCAUGACGACCGUCAUGACGGGGCAAUACGCAGGGAACUGAAACAUCUAAGUACCUGCAGGAAGAGAAAGAGAAGUCGAUUCCGUAAGUAGCGGCGAGCGAAAGCGGAGGAGCCCAAACCGGACAUAGUCCGGGGUUGUAGGACCGCCGAUAAAGAUGACAUGAAGAGUCAGGAGAAUCCCAUGGGAAGGGGAUCCGAAGAGGGUGAGAGACCCGUAUCCGAAGGCUUGACAUGCGUCGAGGCGGCACCUGAGUACGGCGGGGCACGUGGAAUCCUGCCGGAAUCAUCGGGGACCAUCCCGAAAGGCUAAACACUACUCUGUGACCGAUAGCGAACCAGUACCGUGAGGGAAAGGUGAAAAGAACCCCGGGAGGGGAGUGAAAGAGAACCUGAAACCGCAUGCCCACAAGAAGUCAGAGCCCGUCAAAGGGUGAUGGCGUGCCUUUUGUAGAAUGAGCCGGCGAGUCACGAUCAGCAGGCGAGGUUAAGCAGGAGAUGCGGAGCCGCAGCGAAAGCGAGUCUUAACAGGGCGUAAUAGUCUGAGGUCGUGGACCCGAAACCGGGUGAUCUAGCCAUGAGCAGGUUGAAGUCGGGGUAAGACCCGAUGGAGGACCGAACCGACCCCCGUUGAAACGUUGGCGGAUGACUUGUGGCUAGGGGUGAAAUUCCAAUCGAACCCGGAGAUAGCUGGUUCUCCCCGAAAUAGCUUUAGGGCUAGCGUCGCAGCGAGAGAGCCGUGAAGGUAGAGCACUGAAUAUGCGAUGGCCGCAUCCCGCGGUACUGAGCAUAAUCAAACUCCGAAUGUCACGGUGUCAUCUGCGGCAGUCAGACGGCGAGUGAUAAGGUCCGUCGUCAAAAGGGAAACAGCCCAGACCAUCAGCUAAGGUCCCAAAGUGCAUGCUAAGUGGAAAAGGAAGUGGAGACGUGCAGACAACUAGGAGGUUGGCUCAGAAGCAGCCAUCCUUCAAAGAGUGCGUAACAGCUCACUAGUCGAAUGACUCUGCGCCGAUAAUUUACCGGGGCUAAGCAUGACACCGAAGCUAUGGACAGGAAUGUGGUAGGGGAGCAUUGCAUGCAGCGGAGAAGCAUGACCGGAAGGGCAUGUGGAGCGCAUGGAAGAGAGAAUGCCGGCGUGAGUAGCGGCACGUGGGUGAGAAUCCCACGCACCGAUGGCCCAAGGUUUCCAGAGGAAGGCUCGUCCUCUCUGGGAUAGUCGGGACCUAAGGCGAGGCCGAAAGGCGUAGCCGAUGGACGACGGGUGGAUAUUCCCGUACCCGAUGUGUGGCGAUGGAGUGACGGAGAAGGCUCAGGCAACCAGCUGCUGGAAUAGCUGGGGCAAGCGAGAUACCUGCGCACCAGGGAAAUCCGGUGCGCAUAAGGGGAAGGCGCGAUGCAUACGGAAAGCUUCGGCAAGUACGGAAAAGCUGAGAGCAGGCUUCCAGGAAAAGCUUCUAGCACAGCACACAUCGGCCCGUACCGAAAAUGGACACACAUGGGCAAGGAGAGAAUCCUGAGGUGAGCGAGAGAACUAUAGCUAAGGAACUCUGCAAAAUGACCCCGUAACCUAGGGAGAAGGGGUGCUCCAGAAAUGGAGCCGCAGUAAAACGGCCCAAGCGACUGUUUACCAAAAACACAGCUCUCUGCGAAGGCGCAAGCCGAAGUAUAGGGGGUGACGCCUGCCCGGUGCUGGAAGGUCAAGGGGAGCUGUCAGCGCAAGCGAAGCAGCGAGCCGAAGCCCCAGUAAACGGCGGCCGUAACUAUAACGGUCCUAAGGUAGCGAAAUUCCUUGUCGGGCAAGUUCCGACCCGCACGAAAGGCGUAACGAUUUGGGCGCUGUCUCAGCUGUAGACUCGGUGAAGUCUUAGUACCUGUGAAGAUGCAGGUUGCCCGCGACUAGACGGAAAGACCCCAUGGAGCUUCACUGCAGGUUGACAUUGGGCUUGGAUGCAUGAUGUACAGGAUAGGUGGGAGGCUGUGAGCCGUGCGCGCCAGCGUACGGGGAGCCGCUGUUGGGAUACCACCCUUCAUGCAUCUAGGUCCUAACCGGAGGCAACGGGCCACGGGACAGUGUCAGUCGGGCAGUUUGACUGGGGCGGUCGCCUCCCAAAGAGUAACGGAGGCGCCCAAAGAUACCCUCAGCAUGGAUGGAAACCAUGCAUAGAGUGCAAAGGCAUAAGGGUGUCUGACUGCGAGACAUACAGGUCGAGCAGGGACGAAAGUCGGGCUUAGUGAUCCGGCGGAUCCGAAUGGAAGGGCCGUCGCUCAACGGAUAAAAGCUACCCUGGGGAUAACAGGCUGAUCUCCCCCAAGAGUUCACAUCGACGGGGAGGUUUGGCACCUCGAUGUCGGCUCAUCGCAUCCUGGAGCUGAAGUCGGUUCCAAGGGUUGGGCUGUUCGCCCAUUAAAGCGGUACGCGAGCUGGGUUCAGAACGUCGUGAGACAGUUCGGUCCCUAUCUGUCGUGGGCGCAGGAGGUUUGAGGAGAGCUGCCCCUAGUACGAGAGGACCGGGGUGGACGGACCGAUGGUGCACCAGUUGUCACGCCAGUGGCACAGCUGGGCAGCCAAGUCCGGACGGGAUAAGCGCUGAAGGCAUCUAAGCGUGAAGCCCCCUCCAAGAUGAGACCUCCCAUUGGCGACAAGUAAGGCCCCUCGAAGACGACGAGGUUGAUAGGCCGCGAGUGCAAGCGCAGCGAUGUGCUUAGCGGGGCGGUACUAAUAGGCCGAGGACUUGGCCAAG
rnacentral:rRNA from 2 species